rnacentral:rRNA from 1 species
UUUCCGGUUGAUCCCGCCGGAGGCCAUUGCUAUUGGGAUCCGAUUUAGCCAUGCUAGUCGCACGAGUUCAGACUCGUGGCGAAUAGCUCAGUAACACGUGGCCAAACUACCCUUCGGAGCUCCAUACCCUCGGGAAACUGAGGCUAAUAGAGCAUACCACAAUCCAGCUGGAAUGAGGAUUGUGCCAAAUGCUCCGGCGCCGAAGGAUGUGGCUGCGGCCGAUUAGGUAGACGGUGGGGUAACGGCCCACCGUGCCAAUAAUCGGUACGGGUCAUGAGAGUGAGAACCCGGAGACGGAAUCUGAGACAAGAUUCCGGGCCCUACGGGGCGCAGCAGGCGCGAAACCUUUACACUGCACGCCAGUGCGAUAAGGGGAUCCCAAGUGCGCAGGCAUAGAGCCUGCGCUUUUGUACACCGUAGGGAGGUGUACGAAUAAGGGCUGGGCAAGACCGGUGCCAGCCGCCGCGGUAAUACCGGCAGCCCGAGUGAUGGCCGAUCUUAUUGGGCCUAAAGCGUCCGUAGCUGGCCGCACAAGUCCAUCGGAAAAUCCACCCGCCCAACGGGUGGGCGUCCGGUGGAAACUGUGUGGCUUGGGACCGGAAGGCGCGACGGGUACGUCCGGGGUAGGAGUGAAAUCCCGUAAUCCUGGACGGACCGCCGAUGGCGAAAGCACGUCGCGAGGACGGAUCCGACAGUGAGGGACGAAAGCCAGGGUCUCGAACCGGAUUAGAUACCCGGGUAGUCCUGGCCGUAAACAAUGUCUGUUAGGUGUGGCUCCCACUACGAGUGGGUGCUGUGCCGUAGGGAAGCGCUAAACAGACGCCUGGAAGUACGUCCGCAAGAUGAACUUAAGAUUGCGGGGAGCACUACACGGAGAGCUGCGUUAUGAUCACGCGG